rnacentral:rRNA from 1 species
CAGUAGCCGCGGGAAUACAGAGGGUGCGAGCGUUAAUCGGAUUUACUGGGCGUAAAGCGUGCGUAGGCGGCUUCUUAAGUCGGAUGUGAAAUCCCUGAGCUUAACUUAGGAAUUGCAUUCGAUACUGGGAAGCUAGAGUAUGGGAGAGGAUGGUAGAAUUCCAGGUGUAGCGGUGAAAUGCGUAGAGAUCUGGAGGAAUACCGGUGGCGAAGGCGGCCCCCUGGACAAAGACUGACGCUCAGGUGCGAAAGCGUGGGGAGCAAACAGGAUUAGAUACCCCCGUAGUCCCUGUCUCUUAUAC